CGUGCNUAGCGNCUGUAGUGANAUUGAAAGCCNCGGNUCANCGUGAAUUGCGUUUCNAACCACCAGGCUGGAGGAUGGCAGGGGUGAUGGAAUUGAUNGUGGAGCGGUGAAAUGCGUUGAUAUCAUCAGGAACACCGGUGGCGAAGGCGCAUCACUGGGCCAUUUCUGACGCUGAGGCACGAAAGCUAGGGUAGCGAACGGGAUUAGAUACCCCGGUAGUCCUAGCUGUAAACGAUGAGCACUAGGUUGAGGGGACUUCCACAUCCUCUCGGCCGUAGCGAAAGCAUUAAGUGCUCCGCCUGGGGAGUAUGGCCGCAAGGCUGAAACUCAAAGGAAUUGACGGGGGCUCACACAAGCGGU
rnacentral:rRNA from 1 species